UAGGAGCAACCUGAGGUGCCCCAACA
rnacentral:piRNA from 1 species